rnacentral:lncRNA from 1 species
GUCUUCCUCCAGCCUGACCAGCUCUCUGCUCCGUGAUGCUCGAAGGCCACUUCCCCCAGCCUCCUCUAAGUCUGCAGGGGUCGAGAAACUGGAAAUGGUGAUGCAGACCUUGAUUUACGGAAAGGGAAACAUAUUCCAAAAACUAUGCUGAGGUAACUGAUGAACAACUGAUCUCCUAAUCACAAAGUACAUGAUCUCAGAUAGUCCUCAGCAUCUUCGACUUAACUGGCUUUUGAGACUGUGAAGACUGGAACUCUUUUCUUGACUUCUGAGACAUCUGUCCCUAGCCCAG